rnacentral:rRNA from 1 species
AGCAGUCGCCACGGUAAUACGGAGGGAGCUAGCGUUAUUCGGAAUUACUGGGCGUAAAGCGCACGUAGGCGGCUUUGUAAGUAAGAGGUGAAAGCCCAGAGCUCAACUCUGGAAUUGCCUUUUAGACUGCAUCGCUUGAAUCAUGGAGAGGUCAGUGGAAUUCCGAGUGUAGAGGUGAAAUUCGUAGAUAUUCGGAAGAACACCAGUGGCGAAGGCGGCUGACUGGACAUGUAUUGACGCUGAGGUGCGAAAGCGUGGGGAGCAAACAGGAUUAGAUACCCGCGUAGUCCCUGUCUCUUAUAC